CCACCGGCGGGGAGUGUGGUCUCCCGUUUUCUUCCGGCCGUGUUGGGGCCUGGUGGGCCGUGUGGAGGCUGCUGCGGGGAGGAGCGUCCGCUCCCCGUUUGUGUGGUGUGUGGUCACUGCCCAGGGCGAAGCACUUCUCAGGAUGCCGGGCAGGGGGGAAGGGAGAGGGCGAGAGCCGGAAGCUCGGCCAUGCUGGGCGGGGGGCGAGCGCGGCUUGUGCGGUUAGGGCCGCGCCGCUGACCCCCGACUUCCUCCUGUCAGCCUCCGUGUGGCGGCCUGUGAACUUCCUGGGAUCUCGACAGCGAGAAUCGCGGAGCAGCGCCUAGUUAAGUUGCUUUAACAGCAUAAGCAGGUCUCUGAGAAAUAAAAGGCAAAGGUCAUUUUUGCUGUGGUUUGAGCUCAGCAUGGCUGUAGUCAUCCGUUUACUGGGGCUUCCUUUUAUUGCGGGUCC